CCAGUCUCUCCGGUUCUUCCUUUAGGAACUUCUCCUCGCGUACGAUCUUCUCCAUUUCGGAACUUAGAAGACCCUUCAUACCUUCUUGUAGACUUGGAAAUCGUACCUUUAAAUCCGCCACGGCUUUGCUGAAACGUAGAGGAUUCUACUGACCUGGUAUACUAUAGAGGGAGACCGAGCUGUCUCUAGAGAAACGAGCAGAGCCCCCAAGACUUCCAAGGGGAUUUUUGCCGCACUGGUAGCUGCGAAGCGGCUUGGCUGGCGGCACCGCGCCACCUCCUAAUUCAUCCAUCCAAAAAAGUCAAACAAAAUGAACCGGGAAGAGUGGUUGUAUACCGAGAGAUAUAUGGAACUUCGCGAGCACUUCAAUGAAUUGAAUGUUUUAACGGUCCUCUUAUUCUUUUCUUGCUAUCUAUUGGUUUCUUUUAUUUUCUUUUAUCUUAUUUCAUUCCUUUUCUCUAUACUUUUCUCUUAUUUUUUGGCUCAUUGUUAUUCUUUUAUUCCUUUUCCUAGGUAAUUCUUUUCUCCCUCCCGCCCCUUUCACUACCCUCUUUGUUUCAAUCGUUAAACCUUUGAUAAAUAGGAAAAGUACCGAUGAGUAUAUAACUUUUUCUUUUUCUUUUCUUUUUUUUUUUUUUUUUUUUUGAAGCGAACUCGAAUAUUUCGGGUCGAUUUUUUUCUUCCUUUUUAAAUAUUACAUUUCUACGUUAUCCAUAAGAAUUUUUAGAUGUAUAUAGUUGUUCUUUUGUAAUUUCUUUUUGUAUAUAAAAUAACUGAGAGAUGAGUACAAAUAAUUUAUUAUAGAAAAUAUGUUCAAAAAAUUAAUGAUAAAUUAGAAACUUGCAAAAUAAGAAACUCAAUCUCUUUAAUUAUCUAUAACUUUCUUACGUGUAAUGAACAAAUUUUUUUAAAUUACGAAAGAUUCCAAUUUUUCUAUAUUAAAAUCGAUUAAAAAAAGAAAAAAAAAAAAAAAAAGAAAAAAAGAAGAAGAAAAAGAAAAAGAAAGAAAAAAAGGAAAAAAAAAGAAACGAAAAAGAAAAAAAAAGAAGGAAAAAAGAGCAGAGAAGAGGCAAUAAAACAAAAAAAGAAAAAAGAAAUAAAAAGGAUCCGAAACAAUCGAGUUCAAUCAUAAUUUUUCGAGACCACUACAAAAUUCUAGAAUUAAUAAUACAUCAAAUAUUUUUCUUAUAAGAUGCAAAUCAAAGGAUCAUGUCGAACCGAAGAAAUCUCGGACAAGGCGAUUCUUUUGUCCAAGUCGGAACGGUGCCUCGAGUCCCUUUGAUUCGUUCAACGAUCGAGCAAGGAUGCGGGGCGACGAAGGAGGGGUGUGGUGCACUUGGAAAUUUUGUUAUUUGCUUACUCGGCAACCUGUGUUUUUAGUAUUAUUAAUCACAGAGUAAUCGAUCGGUCUUAAUUAGUGUCGAUACCAGACAGGGUAGUAAAAUGACGUAAUUAGUAGAGUUUCAAUGCAAACAGAGAAAAGGGUGGAUUAAGGGGAUGAGAGGGUUAAGGGUGAAGGGGGUAAAAGUAGAUAGGGUCGAUCGGUUAACGUUCUCGUUUCGAAUUCGAGGCUUCGCCGAUUGAAAGGACUUUGCCUUUGAGUUCUCGAGAACGAAACUGAAAUGUUUUGAUUUCGAUCGAUAUUAACUUUAUAUAUAUAUAUAUAUAUAUAUAUAUAUAUAUAUAUAUAUACAUAUAUAUACAUAUAUGUAUA